GGUGGAGCAGUGGACCUCUUAUGAGCUUUAGCAAAAGGUGCUGGAGAUGCCGGAGAUGCGUAUGCUCUACUGAAGCAAGAUUCAGUCGUAUCGGUAGAAUGCAUCCCGGAGCCAGCAAAUGUAAACAAACGUUGGACAAAGCACAAAACAAUGGGGAAAAGUCACAAAGCCUUUGGACAAGCCAUCUGGGCCCAGCGCCUGAAAAAAUUCGCACAACAAAAAUGCUGGACGCCGGACAUGGGCAGCAGGCCCGGUCCGAGACAGCCAAGGGCUGUCCUUGACCUGUAUAACAAGGUCCAAAGAUGCCCACGGCAGUGCGGCAGCCAGCAGCCGCUGACCUUCCGGGGGGUGGCUGCGCUGCAAAGAGGCUGUAACUG
rnacentral:lncRNA from 1 species